rnacentral:lncRNA from 1 species
CUCUGGAUAAAAUGGCCUAUUCAUAUGGCAAAGCAAAAUGGAGACCGAAGUCUAUUAUUUCUUUCUUACUAAAGACAAGGUUGACUUUCCUUUUCCCGGAUCAUCUCCUGUUGGACCGGAGACCUGGCCAGGGCGUUGAUCUCUCUACAGGUUAUUUCAGCAGAAACCCUGGUCCAGGAGAGUCUAUGAAGUUCCAGCUUACACCAGACACGACCAGCAUCCAGAGAGAACUGAAAGAAGCUUGAAUCCUCUCACUAGAAUCCCUGCAAAAUGACUCAUGUAAUUGCUCUGUGUAAGUAUCCUUAGUCUUUAUUGUACACCCACACGAUUCUGAUGCUAUAGACUCCUGUGGAAUGCAGGGAAAGGGAGAAAGGGGCCCAUUUUAAAUGCCUAGGAUUGAAAAGAGACCACCAUUUCACUUGUAAAGGUAGACAGGGACUAUCAAAUAUCUGGUCAAAAUACCUGCCAAUCACUCCAGAUCCUCCCUUGUUUGUCUAUCUGUCAUUCCUUCCAUUAGGAGAGAGAAAGCCUUUUUUUUCCCCUUUAAAUUUCCUAGGAGGGAUUUCUAGGGUCUUUCCCUCAGGAAUUAGUUGUAGGAAUAAUUGGGCCAGUGGAGUGCAGGAGAUAUAUCCAGCGCAGCCCGUGGACUCCUAGAAAAAGUGACCUAGAUCAAGCAGCUGGUGGAUUGAGGACUAUUGUGGGGACCCCCUGCCACCUACUGACUUACAGCUGAACCCACAUUCCCAGCAGCUUCAGCUUGGGGGCUGGGGGAGGGGGCAGAGAGAGCUCAGAAAGGCGGGGGAGGGUAAAGAGGACUGCGAGGUUGCCCCUUCCAGGACCAAGCGCCACGUGUCACCUCCCCGCCCCCCCAACCUUUCUUCACACACAGAAAGGAGGAUAAGGUGAGGACGGAAGGCAGGGGGAAUAAGUAGGAAGGUCGGCUGUGGAACUCCAAGCUGGCUCGGUGGGUAUUAGCAUAGAGCUUACUGCCUGUGUGAGUGUGAGGGGGAGAGCGAGAGAGAGCAAGGGAGGGAGAGAGAGGCAGGCUGCGAGGGGAGAGGAGAAGGAGAGGGGGAGCCAGCGCUCCAGCUAGCAUGAGGACGGGCUUCUCUUCCC